GGGCCGCGGUGCCGUCUGCUGCUCAGUGCAUUGCAAACACAGACAAUGGCAGGUGGCUGUGGUGAUCCGCUCGCUCGACGAGUGUCACUUUGCAUGUGGAUAAGGGAUUAGUACUCGCAUCUCAUCACACAAUGUCGCUGAGGGUGUGCACGAGGUUGGACCAGCGGCUGCACGCGGCGGCCGUCAAAGGAGAGGUGGAGGAAGCGGUGCGCGUGCUGGACACUGGCCGCGUGCAUGUCGACUGUGCGGACCGCGAUGGGACCACGCCGCUCAUCCUUGCCGCCGCCAACAGCCACGUGGACCUGGUGCGGGAGUUGCUGGAUCAAGGAGCCGAACCGAACGCUACCAGACACACUGGCACGGGGGCGCUGUUCUUCGCGGCGCAAGGAGGCUUCCUGGACAUCGUGACGCUGCUGCUGGACCGAGGCUGCUCCAUCAACCAGGCCUCUAAGGACGGGGGCACGGCGCUCAUCGUGGCGGCCCAGUGUGGCCACAUGGACGUGGUGCAGGAGCUGCUGCGUCGCGGGGCGGACCCUCACGCCGCCAUGAAGGACCGCGCCACGGCAGUCUUCGUCGCCUCCCAGAACGGCCACACCAGCGUCGUCCGGACACUGCUGACAGCGGGAGCCAAGGCUCACGUGCGGCGGAUGGACGGCGCCAGUCCACUCUGGAUCGCCUCCCAGAUGGGUCACCAGGGCGUGGUGCGCCUCCUGCUGGGCCACGGAGUCAACCCUGACGUCACCAGACACGACGGCGCCACCCCGCUGUUCAAGGCGGCUCACAAGGGCCACGUGGAGGUGGUGCACGAGCUGCUGCCCUACAACCCCUGCCUCGGUCUCCUCAAGAAUGGUGAGUCUGCUCUCCACGCCGCAGCCUUAUACGGUCACCUCCGCGUGCUGAAGGCCUUGGUGCAGGCUGGUGCUGACCCGGGCCUCAAGAAUGACCAAGGACUCACCCCCAUACAGAUCGCUGCCCAGGCUCGCCACUACGAAGCCGUCCAGCUACUGAAAGACGCCCUGGCCAAGAAGAAGGAGAAGGGUCCCCCCACCCCGAAGACAUCGCCUGGGCCGCGAUCCCCGCGGCUAGUGCACAGCACGUCAGGGGUGGCGGUGCCGCCCGGCAUGCAGAGCCAGAGCAGCAGCCGCGGCUCCUCCAGGAACAGCUCGCUGGGCACCAUCGUGGAGACCAGCCCGGUGCUGCCGCGCUCCGCCAGCUCGCCCAGCAACUCCCGCCCCGCGCAGUACGUGUCCUGCGAGCUGAGCAACAUGGUGGACGGCGGCGCGCGGCCCAGAGCCAACCUGGCCACGGGCUCCUGCACCUCCGUAGGGGGGCGUACGCCAUGUUCCUCCAACCCCUCCCCCUCCCCGAGCAUCUCCAGCGAGCCCCCGCAGUCCAUGAUCGCCGCCCUUCAGAAGGCUCCGCGCCACGCCUCCCACACGGACGUGAGCAGCGUGAAGAAUAUUUUCCGCCGAACUCUCGCCUCCUUCCGGCGGCCCACUAUAGUUAAAAGGAACGACAAGCCGCCAGAGCCAUGACAGCCUUCCGCGCCCAGUUUUUCUUUGUUUGUAUCUGUUUCAUGAUUUGUUUCCAAACUGUGCAGGUUUCAGUACAAAUGCCUAAUAAUUCACUGGUGAUAUUAGGUUAGAGAUGAUAAUGUGACGAUUCACUUGCUGGGAAAGUCACCGUGUAUCAGUUUUAUGUUCGAAUGACGCGGCGUGCUGGUGAGAGGCGGAGCCCGGCCGACGCCCCCCGCCCCCCGCUCCCCGCGGCUCCCUCGCACUGGGCGGCGGGCCGGGUGAUGGGCGGGCCACCGGUGUGAGUGUUUAGGUACAACCUAUGCAAGGUAAUUCAUAUCAAUUUAACCUUUAUUUACUCAUUUGCCUGUAAUUAUGAUUUAACUGAUUAUUUGAAUAAUUGUACUGAUCUGUCUUGGCGUGGAGGAAUUAGCCUUGAGUGGUGGAGCCGUGCCGCCCUGACACCAACACACCGCCACCUCGCCCUGCGGCUGUCAGGCGCCCGCUCACCAGCGGGUCUUGCCACUUGACUACGUCAAGCUCUUCCUUUUAUAACUAAAAAACAUAUGCAACACCUUCAGCAGUUCUUUUCUUUUCUUUUUUCGAUACUCGCGGACCUCGGCGGCGUCCCGCGGGCCGUGGCGGUGCUCAGGCCGCCGCGCGCAAGGCUGGGGAAGCUCAAGGUUUUGAUGGUGGUGGCGGGUAAACCUUUUUUAAUACACACCUGAGGAGUGUUGCGUGAAGCUGACUCACGGCUUGCAUCGCCACUUGCUGCAGCACGAGAGGAGGCGCCCUAGCUCGUGCAUACUCCCCCGCGGCGCUAUGCUGUGGGUCCCUGCCUGCCACCCACUGUCCGGGCCGCCGCCUGGGGCUGAACCAUGUGCCUGGUGGUCAAUACUCUUAAGAGCUCAUGACGCAGGUUUUGUAAUGUGUGAGUGUGUGUGUGUGUGUGCGGUACACGCGCGACGUGACGCGACGCGACGCGUGGCUCCGGUGCGACGCUUGGCCAGAAACACCCUCGAUCACAUGUCCAGUCCUGAUCAGUCUUCAGUACUUUCCCCACACCACUGCUAAACACUCUAAACACUAAAUAUCCAAACUCAAAACUACUUUUAACAACGUUGUGCAACACGAAUGCCGCGUCUGAUGAGCGAGCGCUGCGGUAAUACUGUAAUGCUGUGGCUGUAACGCUGUGGCGUGGCUUUGGCAAACCGUGUCUGAGGAGGAGGCGAGGGUGGCCGGCCCGGUCUGCCGCUCGUUAGCUGGGAUGCUGGGAUGGAGGGAGGAGCAGGAGGAAUAGGAGGCGCCGCGUGUCACACAGGAGUCCGUAAGCUUCAGCAGAAAUAUUAGCAGGUUGUAACAUGUCUGGCAUUGUGAAGAACUGAAACUGUAACAGACAAGAUAAUGCUUUAACAAUAGAACAAUAUAUACACCCACUGCUUGCCUUGGAUAUCCACGUAUGUACGUACACCUUGCCGAGCUGCUGCUGUGUGCCAGCCUGUGUGACUGUCAUGCACGCACUGAGUCCACACCACCCACCCACCGGCGGCAGCGGCUCCUGCAUCGUAAAGCUGUGUGUGUGUGUGUGUGUGUGUGUGUGUGUGUGUGUGUGUGUGUGUGUGUGUGUGUGUGUGUGUGUGUGACUACAUCUAUAUACUGCAGCAGGACAGUGUGUGUUGACAGUGUCAGACUGGAUUGCAUCCAAAAAAGUGUCUAUGUUUGUUU
rnacentral:misc_RNA from 1 species